rnacentral:rRNA from 1 species
UACAGAGGCCCCAAGCGUUACUGAGAAUCACUGGGUUUAAAGGGUGCGUAGGUGGUCCGUUAAGUUCGUUGUGAAAUCCCUGGGCUCAACCCAGGAAAUGCUUCGAAUACUGGCGGACUUGAGGCUAGUAGAGGUCACUGGAACUGACGGUGGAGCGGUGAAAUGCGUAGAUAUCGUCAGGAACGCCGAUGGUGAAGACAGGUGACUGGAGCUAGUUCUGACACUGAGGCACGAAAGCGUGGGGAGCGAACGGG